GCCUUAGUAGCUUAACCCACAAAGCACUGGUCUUGUAAACCAGCGAUGGGGACCAACAGUCCCCCUAAGACA
rnacentral:tRNA from 1 species